CGCAGCAGAUUCGGAGCCGGAGGGGGCGGGAAAAGGGGGCUAGGGGGUGGAUGCGGAGACGGGGAAGAGAGGGAGGAGCUGACGUAAUCCGCUUGUAAACAAAUAAACUCCGGAGCGGCGGCCCGGGACCGGCGGGCUGUGGCCAAGGGACUGAGCCGAGCGAGGGUGCGCGUGUGAAAGCUCCGCCCCCAGCCCUAGCUCCUCCUUCCCGGUUCAGCUACUCCGGGCCCAGCGCCAGCGCAUCCUCUGCGAGAGUGAGCUGCCUGGGCUCGCUCGCGGGGAGUCUCAGUGCUGGGCAGAUAAAAGCCUUCUUGGCGUCCGCGCGCGCAGAUCCGGCUGCAAGUCCGAGUAAUUUCAGGAGUCAAAGGAGAGAGGAGUGGAGACCUUACUGAAUCCAGCGUCGUGCUGAUAGGAAAGCCUGUUACUGACGAUAAUGUAGUAACGCGGAUCCCGUAAAGUUAAGGCUGUACUGGAAACACACAUUUGUGUAAUGCAUUUACACCGUUUAUACCUUAACCAAGAAAGGAGAAAGGAUUCAACCAACAAGUUAAUCAGAAGAGAUCCGACUCGAAAGAAGAAAAUCAGACAGCAGCCAUUGAAGGGCAGGGCUCCUAGAACCUUCUCAGCGGGGUUG